rnacentral:tRNA from 1 species
GUAUUUAUAGUAUAUAAUUAUUACAACUAACUUCCAAUUAGUAAAAUUACUGUUAAAGUAAUAUAUACA